rnacentral:pre_miRNA from 14 species
AAUACAAUGGCAUAUUGUUGUUUCUUGCAAUCAGUAACAAGGAUUCAUCUCUGUAUUGUGUGAAGAACAGAGAGAGUCUUUGUAACUAAGUGCAAGUAAUAGCCAUUCAACGCGGGACCCA